AUUGAACGCUGGCGGCAGGCUUAACACAUGCAAGUCGAGCGAGCGGCGGACGGGUGAGUAAUGUCUGGGAAACUGCCUGAUGGAGGGGGAUAACUACUGGAAACGGUAGCUAAUACCGCAUACCAUCAGAUGUGCCCAGAUGGGAUUAGCUAGUAGGUGGGGUAAUGGCUCACCUAGGCGACGAUCCCUAGCUGGUCUGUGAGGAUGACCAGUUAUACUGGAACUGAGACACGGUCCAGACUCCUACGGGAGGCAGCAGUGGGGAAUAUUUCACAACUGGCGCAAGCCUGAUGCAGCCAUGCCGCGUGUGCGAAGAAGGCCUUCGUGUUGUAACGCCCUUUCAGCGAGGAGGCGUUACUCGCAGAAGAAGCACCGGCUAACUCCGUGCCAGCAGCCGCGGUAAUUC
rnacentral:rRNA from 1 species